AUGACAGUAAGAUUGGGGGAAUGUGGUAAAGGUGUUUCCAUACUUAGAGGACACUUUGCAUUGGCAGCACAUGCUUCAGUGAUCUGGGAGUGUUUAUAGUGCUGUGACUUUAACACUUCAUGACUGAGAGCUGCUGCUACAGCAACUUCACCCACAGCUACCAUGACUUUGAUCCCCGUCUUCAUCUGGACACUGAUCCUCUGGACUCAAGAAUGCAGAGGUCAAGCCACAGUAACUCAGACUCCUGCAGUGAAAUCUGUUCUUCAAGGAGAAACAGUCACCGUGAACUGUAGAUCCAGUCCGGCAGUGCAUGGUGGUAACUACUUACACUGGUAUCAGCAGAAACCUGGAGAAGCUCCUAAACUCCUGAUUAAAUAUGUAAAUCAGAGACAGUCAGAAUUUCCAGCUCGUUUCAGUGGCAGUGGAUCUGGAUCUGAUUUCACUCUGACCAUCAGUGGAGUCCAGACUGAAGAUGCAGGAGAUUACUACUGUCAGAGUGAACAUUCCAUCACUGGCUACUGGUUCACACAGUGUUAUAGAGUCGUACAAAAACCUCCCUCAGUCAGAUUGUAGAGAGACUGAACUGCUGCAGCUGGGAGCGACUGCAGGUGCUGAGUUGGAGGAUGUGAUACGACACAAUGACACUCUGUGGAGGAGAAGAACCACAUCACACUAACUUAAUCACACUGAACACAGUCCAUCACAUAAAUUGUAAAAUUUAUAGUUAUAUAAAUUUAUUGUGGUUCAGUGGAUAAUCUGUAAUUUCCUUCAGUCUCUGUCCCUAAUCCUGCCCCCAAGAAAGUCUCGGAUUCUGAUGAACAUCCUGUGGAGAUGAUUCUCCAUGUCAAUAUGUUGUUCUCUCGAUGGAGAAUUCUUUACUUACACCAUCUCACCUUCUCUCCUCAUAUUGCAUUAAGACUCUUCUCUUUCUUGGCCUGCAGGUUUUCUAUUUCCAAAAAAGACCAACUCCAUUCAAACACCAAACACUACAAUGAGAACUUUAUUUCUCUAAAUCUCCUCAUCUAGUGUUGUUGUACUGCUGUACUAACUAAUGCUGACUCAUCAUUAACAGUGAUUUAGCUUCAUAAUAUUUUAUUAGACCAUGAGGAUGUGUUUUGUUGGAGAUUACAAAGCACUUCUAAUUCUGGAAGUCACUCUGGAGAAGGAAAUCUGCCAAAUCCUGUAAAUGUAAUUAUCCCUGUGACAGAUAGUACAUUUCUACUUCCUGUGCUGUCCUCUGCUUCAGGUCUCCUUCCAGUCUGCUGCUUUAUUGAGUCAGGAGACAUGUAGCAUGGAGUUGUCUCUCUAUUAUAUCUCUCUAUUCAUCCUGUUGAUGACCCAGUUUUAUCCAUGAUCAUUGACUAAUGUUCUAUCUCUUCCUGACAUUUCAUUUACAUUAGAAGUAGCACAUUACACAAACUUCCCCUCCAGUUAAAUAUUGUUUUUGUCCCUGAAUGAAUGUUUUAUUGCUUUAUCCAAAAGUGAUGAAAGAAAAUCUGUUCUACGAUUAUUUUCAGUUUUUUACAUCAGUUUAUUCUUUAAUGUAUUUUAUUGGAAUUUGUGAAAUGUUUAAUUGUUUGAUGCAAAUUCUGACCAAUAAGAGAAAUAAGAAGUGAAAGUGAUCCUGCUCAAUACAUAAAGAGGAAGAUUUACUGAGUUACACACACACACACACACACACACACACACACACACACACACACACACACACACACACACACACACACACACACACAUUUGCAUGAACAGCUCUGAGACUCAGAAUAGAUCACCACUUUCAGCAGAUGUUCAUGGUUCUUCAGCCAAACUUACUCAAGCACAACACACAGUGCUGAACUCGACCUGCUGUUAAAGGUGCUGUUCCAAAUCGCUGACAAAGACACUUCACUCAUGAAGAAGGAGACCUGCUUUCUACAUAGAAGCUUUAUUUCAGCAGAGCUACACACUGACAUCACCUCAGACUACUAAGCAUGGUUUAAAGUGUACACUUGAAUUCUAGUGGACUUCACAGCGGCUCUUUCUGAACGAGGCGACCUGAGUGGUGUCGUGGUGGGAGACGGUACAGCCGAACACCUCGGCCUCUUCCCAGCGUUCUUUACUGAGGGUCAGG